GACGAACGCUGGCGGCGUGCUUAACACAUGCAAGUCGAACGGAAAGGCCCUGCUUUUGUGGGGUGCUCGAGUGGCGAACGGGUGAGUAACACGUGAGUAACCUGCCCUUGACUUUGGGAUAACUUCAGGAAACUGGGGCUGAUACCGGAUAGGAGCUCCUGCUGCAUGGUGGGGGUUGGAAAGUUUCGGCGGUUGGGGAUGGACUCGCGGCUUAUCAGCUUGUUGGUGGGGUAGUGGCUUACCAAGGCCUUGACGGGUAGCCGGCCUGAGAGGGUGACCGGCCACAUUGGGACUGAGAUACGGCCCAGACUCCUACGGGAGGCAGCAGUGGGGAAUAUUGCACAAUGGGCGGAAGCCUGAUGCAGCAACGCCGCGUGCGGGAUGACGGCCUUCGGGUUGUAAACCGCUUUCGCCUGUGACGAAGCGUGAGUGACGGUAAUGGGUAAAGAAGCACCGGCUAACUACGUG
rnacentral:rRNA from 1 species